rnacentral:rRNA from 2 species
AUGCUGGAGGUAUCAGAAGUGCGAAUGCUGACAUAAGUAACGAUAAAGCGGGUGAAAAGCCCGCUCGCCGGAAGACCAAGGGUUCCUGUCCAACGUUAAUCGGGGCAGGGUGAGUCGACCCCUAAGGCGAGGCCGAAAGGCGUAGUCGAUGGGAAACAGGUUAAUAUUCCUGUACUUGGUGUUACUGCGAAGGGGGGACGGAGAAGGCUAUGUUGGCCGGGCGACGGUUGUCCCGGUUUAAGCGUGUAGGCUGGUUUUCCAGGCAAAUCCGGAAAAUCAAGGCUGAGGCGUGAUGACGAGGCACUACGGUGCUGAAGCAACAAAUGCCCUGCUUCCAGGAAAAGCCUCUAAGCAUCAGGUAACAUCAAAUCGUACCCCAAACCGACACAGGUGGUCAGGUAGAGAAUACCAAGGCGCUUGAGAGAACUCGGGUGAAGGAACUAGGCAAAAUGGUGCCGUAACUUCGGGAGAAGGCACGCUGAUACGUAGGUGAAGUCCCUCGCGGAUGGAGCUGAAAUCAGUCGAAGAUACCAGCUGGCUGCAACUGUUUAUUAAAAACACAGCACUGUGCAAACACGAAAGUGGACGUAUACGGUGUGACGCCUGCCCGGUGCCGGAAGGUUAAUUGAUGGGGUUAGCGGUAACGCGAAGCUCUUGAUCGAAGCCCCGGUAAACGGCGGCCGUAACUAUAACGGUCCUAAGGUAGCGAAAUUCCUUGUCGGGUAAGUUCCGACCUGCACGAAUGGCGUAAUGAUGGCCAGGCUGUCUCCACCCGAGACUCAGUGAAAUUGAACUCGCUGUGAAGAUGCAGUGUACCCGCGGCAAGACGGAAAGACCCCGUGAACCUUUACUAUAGCUUGACACUGAACAUUGAGCCUUGAUGUGUAGGAUAGGUGGGAGGCUUUGAAGUGUGGACGCCAGUCUGCAUGGAGCCGACCUUGAAAUACCACCCUUUAAUGUUUGAUGUUCUAACGUUGACCCGUAAUCCGGGUUGCGGACAGUGUCUGGUGGGUAGUUUGACUGGGGCGGUCUCCUCCUAAAGAGUAACGGAGGAGCACGAAGGUUGGCUAAUCCUGGUCGGACAUCAGGAGGUUAGUGCAAUGGCAUAAGCCAGCUUGACUGCGAGCGUGACGGCGCGAGCAGGUGCGAAAGCAGGUCAUAGUGAUCCGGUGGUUCUGAAUGGAAGGGCCAUCGCUCAACGGAUAAAAGGUACUCCGGGGAUAACAGGCUGAUACCGCCCAAGAGUUCAUAUCGACGGCGGUGUUUGGCACCUCGAUGUCGGCUCAUCACAUCCUGGGGCUGAAGUAGGUCCCAAGGGUAUGGCUGUUCGCCAUUUAAAGUGGUACGCGAGCUGGGUUUAGAACGUCGUGAGACAGUUCGGUCCCUAUCUGCCGUGGGCGCUGGAGAAUUGAGGGGGGCUGCUCCUAGUACGAGAGGACCGGAGUGGACGCAUCACUGGUGUUCGGGUUGUCAUGCCAAUGGCACUGCCCGGUAGCUAAAUGCGGAAGAGAUAAGUGCUGAAAGCAUCUAAGCACGAAACUUGCCCCGAGAUGAGUUCUCCCUGACUCCUUGAGAGUCCUGAAGGAACGUUGAAGACGACGACGUUGAUAGGCCGGGUGUGUAAGCGCAGCGAUGCGUUGAGCUAACCGGUACUAAUGAACCGUGAGGCUUAACCUU